ACGUAGGUGGCAAGCGUUGUCCGGAUUUAUUGGGUUUAAAGGGUGCGUAGGCGGUCCUGUAAGUCAGUUGUGAAAUACGGCAGCUUAACUGUCGAGGUGCAAUUGAUACUGCAGGACUUGAGUACUGAUGAGGUAGGCGGAAUGGACGGUGUAGCGGUGAAAUGCUUAGAGAUCGUCCAGAACACCGAUAGCGAAGGCAGCUUACUAAGGAGUAACUGACGCUGAGGCACGAAAGUGUGGGGAUCAAACAGGAUUAGAUACCCUGGUAGUCCACACUGUAAACGAUGAUUACUCGAUGUUGGCGAUACACAGCCAGCGUCUUAGCAAAAGCGAUAAGUAAUCCACCUGGGGAGUACGCCGGCAACGGUG
rnacentral:rRNA from 1 species